GACUUUGGAAGAGGACACAAAACUCACUGCUUCUGUACAAAACCAUGGCGAACAAAUUGGGAAAAUAUUGCCAGAUGGGAUUUCAAAAAUGACAGAACAGCAUCAGAGCUAUCUCACAGGUGGUACAUUCUUAGGAAAAAGCAAGGCAAUACAAAGGGUAGUACCAGCUCACAACCUCCUGAAACUCAACUUGCAGCUGCACAUCGAGCCAUGAACCUAGCUUCUAGAUAGGCCUAUGAGCGACAACUUGAAGUCUGUUUCCCACAAGGCUGCUGCUGGAAUAAAAGUUCAGCAUCAACCUCCAAAAGCCUCUGCAUACCAGCAGAUCAACCAUUUCCCAGAGUAGGGCCUUCAAAACCCCAGAUGCUGGCUAGUCGGCCUUCUGUGAACCCAAUAUCUGACACAGACUCAAUGAUCAAAGCUGCUGCAGUUGCUGCUGGGGCUCGCAUAGCUACUCCUACAGAUGCUUCUUCACUAAUUGAGGCUGCACGAUCUCAAAAUGUUGUGCAUAUCACAACCGGAAGCAUUGGCCAUCAACUUCCGAGUAAUGUGCAUUUCAUUCGUAAUGGUCUUGCAAAAGCACCGAUUUCCACUUACUCUGCUCCUAAACCAAACAUAUUAGAA